UACAGAGGGGGCAAGCGUUGUUCGGAAUUACUGGGCGUAAAGGGCGCGUAGGCGGCCGGUUAAGUCGAACGUGAAAUCCCCGGGCUCAACCCGGGAACUGCGUCCGAUACUGGCAGGCUUGAAUCCGGGAGAGGGAUGCGGAAUUCCAGGUGUAGCGGUGAAAUGCGUAGAUAUCUGGAGGAACACCGGUGGCGAAGGCGGGUCUCUGGGCCGAAAUUGACGCUGAGGAGCGAAAGCGUGGGGAGCAAACAGG
rnacentral:rRNA from 1 species